rnacentral:tRNA from 1 species
AGGUAGAGUGGCCGAGAGUUAAGGUGGCGGGUUGUAGCCCCGUUGAUGCGGGUUUAAGUCCUGUUUCUAUCA